AUACGGAGGGUGCGAGCGUUAUCCGGAUUUAUUAGGUUUAAAGGGUGUGUAGGCGGGAGCCUAAGUCAGUGGUGAAAUCUCACAGCUUAACUGUGAAACUGCCAUUGAAACUGGGUUUCUUGAGUAUAGUUGAGGUAGGCGGAAUGUGUAAUGUAGCGGUGAAAUGCAUAGAUAUUACACAGAACACCGAUUGCGAAGGCAGCUUACUAAGCUAUUACUGACGCUGAUGCACGAAAGCGUGGGUAGCGAACAGGAUUAGAAACCCUAGUAGUCC
rnacentral:rRNA from 1 species